GGAGAGUGGCUGAGAGCAUUGGUGGCUUAGGAACUGACUGAAAGCGGUGAUAACUCAGUUCCGAAUCAGGCCCAUAAUUCCAUGUGGCUAACCAUGGAGGGGAAAUAACAUGGACAUCUUCCCUAUGCUGUGAACUUUCAAGACCAAGGUGGAGGCUGCGGAAGAUG